ensembl:lncRNA
GGAUGCGGCCGCGAGGAGCGCGCGGACCGCUUCGCUGCCGCCUCGGCGUCUGCGGAGCUGCACCUCCUCCUACUCCAGUUUCCAUGAGUCAGGAAUCCAGAAUUGGCUUGUGGUUUCGUGUGAGAUUACAGUGAAAAUACUGGCCAGGGCUGAGUCGUUUGAAGGUCUGACUUGGGUUGGAGGAUCCGCUCCAAGAUUUCACAUCACAGCCCUUUGAUACAGCUCCUCCCCAGUAUGAGCGACCCAGAAGAGUAAGAUGGAGGGGUCCUUUUGGGCAGGGGUCGCACCGUGUACUCCCCGUCUCCGCUGAACCCAGAGACUGCUGGGAGCUGUGUGGACAGCGGAAGCCUCCGUCCUGGGACGUGUGCAGCAUGAACCACAGCUGCAGGGGAUGCCGCUGGUCUCCUGGACAGGCUGAGCAGGUAGGUGGUGACGGGAGCUCCACUUGGUACCAACACCCAAAAGUGAAGGUGAGGUAACAAAGGCUAGAAAGGAGGCACUUAUUAAAAACAGUAAACAAAAACCAACAAAACCACCAAACAGCCUUCAGUGGGGCCUGAAGACAUGGAGGAAUGCAGCACGCUGACGGCCACGUGCACCGCCCGCCUGUGAAUGCCGCACACCGCGACCUCCAGCCACAGGGCCCCCAGGGCCCCGGUUUCUACACAGAUCACCUGUCUCAGGGAGAGUCCAGGACAGCAGGCCCCUCUGCAGCCUGUGCUCCCAGGUGUACAGGCCCAUCCCCGGCUUCUCUUGAUCCAGACGACAGGCGACUCCCCCGU